GGGGAAUUAUCGAAAACUAAUAAAGAUAUUUUCAUCUAUGGUGGUUAUUAUAAAAUAUAUGAAACAAUCGUUAUACUUUAAAAGUUUAAACUAAUAAAGAACGACAUUUUAAAUAUUUUUAUAUUUAACACGCGUCCUCACGUCUGGGCUCCAAACUUUUCGCUAGGCUUAGAACGUUGACUUGAAUUAAAUAGGGAAAAAUUAAUAAUGUUAGGAAUGUGACGUGACUCAAAUUUUGGAUCUCUUGCUCUGAUAUCAUAUGAAAUAUAUCUGCUAUACUCUAAAAGAUUAAGUUAAUAGAGAAUGAUGUUCUAAAUAUGUUUAUAUUUGGGGCAAUUGCUUAUAUACCCCUGAAAAGUUCCCGACUUUCCGAUUUACUCCUCUUAGAAGGCUAAUAUUGAAAAUACACCUCCUAUGUUCCAACCUAUAUCUAAUAUACCCUUAGAGUUAAAAUCUGUUAAGUAAUUCUGUUAUCUCUGUAAAAUUACUAUUUUGCCCUCUCAAAUAUACCCUUCCACCAUCACAGUCUUUCUUAUUUGCCCUUAAAGUCAGGGGCACAAAAAGUGUUUUGCAUUUUGGUCUUUUCCAAUAUACCCCUCUACCGUCACCAAUCUUUUUUAUUUGCUCUUAAGUUAAGGGUAAAUUGGCAUUUUAAUUUUUUUUAACUGUGAUAGAUAUUUAACU
rnacentral:lncRNA from 1 species